AUACGGAGGGUGCAAGCGUUAUUCGGAAUCACUGGGCGUAAAGGACGCGUAGGCGGGUUGGCAAGUCCGAUGUGAAAUCCUACAGCUUAACUGUAGAACUGCAUUUGAAACUGCUAACCUAGAGUAUGGGAGGGGGAGAUGGAAUUAGUGGUGUAGGGGUAAAAUCCGUAGAUAUCACUAGGAAUACCGAAAGCGAAGGCGAUCUCCUGGAACAUAACUGACGCUAAGGCGUGAAAGCGUGGGGAGCAAACAGGAUUAGAAACCCUAGUAGUCC
rnacentral:rRNA from 1 species